rnacentral:rRNA from 1 species
GGUUCGAUCUCAGUCAGGAUUGAACGCUGGCGGGAUGCUUUACAGCAUGCAAGUCGAACGUGGCAGCACGGACUUCGGUCUGUGGCGAGUGGCGAACGGGUGAGUAAAAUGUAUCGGAACGUGCCUGUGGGGAUAACUACGCGAAAGCGUAUUAAUACUGCAUAUUGCCCUUCGGGGGAAAGCGGGGGACCUUUCGGGCUCGCACUAUUAGAGCGCGGCCGAUAUCGGAUUAGCUAGUUGGUGGGGUAACGGCUCACCAAGAAGGCGACGAUCCGUAGUCGGUUUGAGAGGACGACCAGCCACACUGGGACUGGAGACAGGCCCAGACUCCUACGGGAGGCAGCAGUGGGGAAUUUUGGACAAUGGGGGAAACCUGAUCCAGCCAUCCCGCGUGUGCGAUGAAGGCCUUCGUUGUAAAGCACUGGCAGGAAGGAAACGGCACGGGAUAAUACCCGUGCAACUGACGGUACCUGCAGAAUAAGCACCGCCGAACGCUGCGCCAGCAGCCGCGGUAAUACGGGUGCAAGCAGCAAUCGGAAUUACUGGGCGUAAAAGCGUGCGCAGGCGGUUCGAAAGAAAGAUGUGAAAUCCCAGAGCUAACUUUGAACUGCAUUACAUUAACCACACGAGCUUAGAUGUCAGAGGGAGGUGGAAUUCCGCGUGUAGCAGUGAAAAUGCGCGUGGAUAUGCGGAGGAACACCGAUGGCGAAGGCAGCCUCCUGGGAUAACACUGACGCUCAUGCACGUAAAGCGUAAGAGCAAACAGGAUUAGAUACCCUGGUAGUCCACGCCCUAAACGAUGUCAACUAGCUGUUGGGGCCUUCGGGCCUGGUAGCGGUGUUAACGCUAGUGAAGUUGACCGCCUGGGGAGUACUGGGUCGCAGGAUUAAAACUCAAAGCGGAAUUGACGGGACCCGCACAAGCGGUGGAUGAUGCGGAUUAUUAAUUCGAUGCACCCGAAAACCUACCUACCCUUGACAUGUCUGGAAUCCCGAAGAGAUUUGGAGUGCUCGCAGAGAACCGGAAUGACAGGUGCUGCAUGGCUGUCGUCAGCUCGUGUCGUGAGAUGUUAAGUCCUGCAACGAGCGCAAACCUUUAGCCAUUGAAGCUACACGCCAAAGCGCACUCUAAUGAGACUGCCGGUGACAAACCGAGGAAGGUGGGGAUGACGUCAAGUCCUCAUGGCCCUUAGGUAGGGGCUUCACACGUCAUACAAUGGUUUGGACACGAGGUCGCCAACCCGGGCGAGGGGAGCCAAUCCCAGAAACCCGAUCGUAGUCCGGAUCGCAGUCUGCAACUCGACUGCGUGAAGCUCGGAAUCGCUAGUAAUCGCGGAUCAGCAUGUCGCGGUGAAUACGUUCCCGGGUCUUGUACACACCGCCCGUCACACCAUGGGAGUGGUUUACCAGAAGAGUUAGCUCAACCGUAAGGAGUGGCGAUUACCACGGGUAGGAUUCAUGACUGGGGUGGGAAGUCGUAACAAGGUAA